GUGCCCAUGUCGACAGCACAUAUACUAAAAUUGGAAGAUACAGAGAAGAUUAGCAUGGCCCCUGCUCAAGGAUGACACGCAAAUUUGUGAAGCGUUCCAUAUUUUU
rnacentral:snRNA from 1 species